AGUUAAANCNGGGAUAACAUUUGGAACCGCAUGGUUCUAAAGUAAAAGAUGGUUUUGCUAUCACUUAUAGAUGGACCCGCGCCGUAUUAGCUAGUUGGUAAGGUAACGGCUUACCAAGGCAACGAUACGUAGCCGACCUGAGAGGGUGAUCGGCCACACUGGAACUGAGACACGGUCCAGACUCCUACGGGAGGCAGCAGUAGGGAAUCUUCCGCAAUGGACGAAAGUCUGACGGAGCAACGCCGCGUGAGUGAUGAAGGUUUUCGGAGUCUG
rnacentral:rRNA from 1 species